rnacentral:lncRNA from 1 species
GGAUCGUUCCUCGAAGUAGGCUAACUCGCCUUUUUCCUCCCUCCUGCUUCUUCAACUUAGUCUUGAGCUCUCAUAUCGACUCCCCGACCUUUCUUGCAGAUUGGGCAUCAGCUCGUCACCAACAUCGAGGCGGCAAAGAUCACCAAGAGGGAGGUAGCUCAGGCAGAAGAAGGUCGCCUAGCCGAGGUCGCCCGUCUUGAGGAGAAGAUCGUCGAGGUCCUGAGCCUUCAGGAGGUGCUGGAAAAGGAGGGACAAACCUCGUCCGAUCUGAGGACUAUCUUGG